GGGGCGGUCUCUUCCGCCUCCUGCCUGGUUCGCCGCUCCCCUCCGCGACGACACGCCCCCAGCCCACUCCGCCGCGGGACGCCUCAUCCCGCGGGUACCCUUCACAGGUUUAACAGCCUCCACCCCUCGGGCACCAAGCAGUGUUAUCCAGGAAAAAAAAAAAAAAAGAGACUGAUUCUCAGUAGUAAUCUCUGUGCCUGUGAGGAACUUAAUGCAAGUCUCAGGAUCUCAAAAUAAGACCUACGAGCAUAAAGUAAUGAGUCUGUCAAGCUGGAUUUCCAUGCAUGGGGGAGGAUCUCUUUAAGUAAGGAAACUUCCUUGUGCUUCUUUAAGCACAGUUGCUAUCAUUCCGGGAGAAGCUCCUUUUAACCCAUAUCUUCUUCCAACUAGCAUCCUAUUUUUUUUCUUUCCUUCCCAGCUGAACUUCUUAAGGACCAACCUAUAUGAUGUGAUAUUUUAGAUAUUAACCUAUUUUUCUUGGUAUUCCUUGUAUAGCUUGCCACUUUCCCAACCCUCACCCAUAGGUUUGUUGCAUUGAAGAAAGGAUGUAGAAGGAAAAUCUUUCUGGCUUUUGUUUCUAGACUCUCAAACCCCACAAAUGGGGAGAGGAUUCAGGCCACAGAGAAAUGGCUUCAGGAGAAGCCAAGGGCAGGGGUAUAUAGGUGGAGGGAGAACAGGCAGCAUCUUCCUCCCCCUCAACUCUAGAAACAGAUUUCUCUGGGUCUGAGAGGGUGGGAGGGUGCUUCUAGGUGGACAAAACCACACAGCCCGUUUAACCUUCCUGGUCUCCAAAAUAUCCCGUACCCUAUCUUAGUACAGAGCAAUAUUUCAAAAUCCUGACAAAACCAGAAUGGAGACUCAAAACAGAAAUUGAAUUGGUGGAAUAUAUUAAAACAUAUUUCUUUACAAGCUUGAGUUGUGGGCUAAAAUUCAUACUGCUACAUGUUCAUUAAUCUUGCCUUCCUCACCCCAUAAAAUGUGCUCAGGCUGGGCAUGGUGGCUCACGCCUGUAAUCCCAGCACUUUGGGAGGCCGAGGCAGGCAGAUCACCAGAGGUCAGGAGUUCGAGACCAGCCUGGCCAACAUGGUGAAACCCUGUCUCUACUAAAAAUACAAAAAUUAGCUGGGCGUGGUGGCAGGUGCCCAUAGUCCCAGCUACUUAGUAGGCCGAGGCAAGAGAAUCACUUGAACCCGGGAGGCGGAGGUUGCAGUGAGCCAAGAUCGUGCCACUGCAUUCCAGCCUGGGUGACAAAAGCAGACUCCAUCUCAAAAAAAAAAAAAAGUGUGCUCAACCCCCACCAGUCCACUGAAAGUUACCAUGGUAAGGUCAUCAAUGACCCUCAUUUCCCAACCUACUUUUCAGUUCUCAGACCUUAUUCCACAAACUUUUCAACCAAGAAGUUCUAAUGAUAGAAUUGUUCACUCCUUCCUGCUUAAAACUUUUUCCUUAUCCCCUUUGGGAUACAAUUGCAUCCUAGUCUUCCUUUUAUUUCUCUGAAUAUGCCUUCUCAAUUUCAUUUGUGGGCUUCUCAUUUUGCAGUUGCUCCCAUAAGUACUAAUCUUCCUCAGAGUCCAGCCAUCAGUCCCUUCAGGUUUAAAUUAUUUCUGAUUAUGAUUGCAUAUUUUCAAUUGCCAAAUAUACUAAUACAUUUAUUAAUAACUACCAGAUCUACCAGAUCUAUAUCUCCAGCCCAGGCUUUCCUCCUGACAUCAACCCUAUGUAUAAUAGAUAUCCACUUACAUGUCACACAAACAUCCUAAACCCAGGUUUUU
rnacentral:lncRNA from 1 species